rnacentral:ncRNA from 7 species
GGAAGUAAAAGUCGUAACAAGGUUU